rnacentral:rRNA from 1 species
AUUGAACGCUGGCGGCAGGCCUAACACAUGCAAGUCGAACGAGUGGCGGACGGGUGAGUAAUGUCUGGGAAACUGCCUGAUGGAGGGGGAUAACUACUGGAAACGGUAGCUAAUACCGCAUACCAUCGGAUGUGCCCAGAUGGGAUUAGCUUGUUGGUGGGGUAACGGCUCACCAAGGCGACGAUCCCUAGCUGGUCUGAGAGGAUGACCAGCCACACUGGAACUGCGACACGGUCCAGACUCCUACGUGAGGCAGCAGUGGGGAAUAUGGCACAAUGGGCGCAAGCCUGAUGCAGCCAUGCCGCGUGUAUGAAGAAGGCCUUAGGGUUGUAAAGUACUUUCAGCGGGGAGGCGUUACCCGCAGAAGAAGCACCGGCUAACUCCGUGCCAGCAGCCGCGGUAAUAC